rnacentral:rRNA from 1 species
GACGAACGCUGGCGGCGUGCUUAACACAUGCAAGUCGAACGGAAAGGCCCUGCUUGCGGGGUACUCGAGUGGCGAACGGGUGAGUAACACGUGGGUGAUCUGCCCUGCACUUCGGGAUAAGCUUGGGAAACUGGGUCUAAUACCGGAUAGGAGCCAUCUUUAGUGUGGUGGUUGGAAAGUUUUUUCGGUGUAGGACGAGCUCGCGGCCUAUCAGCUUGUUGGUGGAGUAAUGGCCUACCAAGGCGGCGACGGGUAGCCGGCCUGAGAGGGUGUACGGCCACAUUGGGACUGAGAUACGGCCCAGACUCCUACGGGAGGCAGCAGUGGGGAAUAUUGAACAAUGGGCGCAAGCCUGAUGCAGCGACGCCGCGUGGGGGAUGAAGGCCUUCGGGUUGUAAACUCCUUUCGCUAGGGACGAAGCUUUUUUGUGACGGUACCUAGAUAAGAAGCACCGGCUAACUACGUG